rnacentral:SRP_RNA from 1 species
CGGCGGGCUAGGCGGGGGGCUAGCGGUCCCCUGUAACCGGAAAUCCGCUCAUGCCGGGCCGAAGUCGGGGGGCGGCGCUGGAACCUCGCACCGCCCGGUCCCGGGUGUGGAAGUCCCGCCCCGCAGGGUCGGCGGCGGAGGGGCCCCGACCGGAGGGCCGGGGAGAACCUCCCUUACCUGCUGAAUCCCCCAGGGGCGGAAGUCAGCAAGGGUAGGCAGGACGCACGGCGCUUGCGGAAAGCGGGAUGGAGCCUGAGGGGCCGGUCAACGGUGUGCAGGGGAAGGCGUCCACCUUCGACGCGCCCGCCG